rnacentral:rRNA from 1 species
CCUACGGGCGGCAGCAGUGGGGAAUAUUGGACAAUGGGGGGAACCCUGAUCCAGCCAUGCCGCGUGUGUGAAGAAGGCCCUCGGGUUGUAAAGCACUUUCAGUGAGGAAGAACGCCUGGUGGUUAAUACCCAUCAGGAAAGACAUCACUCACAGAAGAAGCACCGGCUAACUCCGUGCCAGCAGCCGCGGUAAUACGGAGGGUGCGAGCGUUAAUCGGAAUUACUGGGCAUAAAGCGCGCGUAGGUGGCUUGAUAAGCCGGUUGUGAAAGCCCCGGGCUCAACCUGGGAACGGCAUCCGGAACUGUCAAGCUAGAGUGCAGGAGAGGAAGGUAGAAUUCCCGGUGUAGCGGUGAGAUGCGUAGAGAUCGGGAGGAAUACCAGUGGCGAAGGCGGCCUUCUGGACUGACACUGACACUGAGGUGCGAAAGCGUGGGUAGCAAACAGGAUUAGAUACCCUGGUAGUC